UGGGGAAUUUUGGACAAUGGGCGCAAGCCUGAUCCAGCAAGGCCGCGUGCAGGAUGAAGGCCUUCGGGUUGUAAACUGCUUUUGUACGGAGCGAAAAGGUCUGCCCUAAUACGGUGGGCUCAUGACGGUACCGUAAGAAUAAGCACCGGCUAACUACGUGCCAGCAGCCGCGGUAAUACGUAGGGUGCGAGCGUUAAUCGGAAUUACUGGGCGUAAAGCGUGCGCAGGCGGUUAUAUAAGACAGAGGUGAAAUCCCCGGGCUCAACCUGGGACCUGCAUUUGAGACUGUAUAGCUAGAGUACGGUAGAGGGGGAUGGACUUCCGCGUGUAGCAGUGAGAUGCGUAGAUAUGCGGAGGAACACCGAUGGCGAAGGCACUCCCCUGGACCUGUACUGACGCUCAUGCACGAAAGCGUGGGGAGCAAACA
rnacentral:rRNA from 1 species